rnacentral:lncRNA from 1 species
CAUUGAGCUUUUGCAAUGAAAUAGACCAAAAAUGUAUUUCAUUAAUUGCCUUUUUGCAAAUUUUGACUGGUGCAUCCCAACUUGCUCUACCCAUGAUACAAUCAUAAAGGUAUCUAGUGUUCAAUCUAACUAAGUCACCAAUGACUAUCUGCAUAGAUAUCAACUGACCUACAAUGCUAGCUAAAAAUCUAGAUCCAAAAAAAUCCAC